GAUAAUAAUGUGAGAUGUGUGCAUUGCUUCAUGCUUCAGGUUAUUCUGAAGUCUGUGCUUCGUGACAAGUUGGAACUAUUGCCUUUGGCCAUAUUUCAUGGGAUGUUGUACUUUUUUGCGGGGUCAAGUAACAUGUAUGAACAUUAUUGAUGGUCCUGCUUGCACUCAUGGUUAAGUGAACCUGACAGGUUCCACUAGCUCCGUUGCCGAUACUGACUGAAUUUUCACCUUUUUUACCAUUCAUGGAUUAAUGGCUCGGAUGAAUGCACCAACAAUAGCCCCCUGGAAAACGAAAUUCCAACUUUGAUUACAUGGAGUCCAGGAGGAAAUGAGGUCGUUUCUGGACGGAUCAUGGGAUAACUGGACAUCAAGGUUUACUCUUUAGCUGAUCUGCUAUUGAAAUGUUUUAUGCAGUUCUGGAAAUGACAUGCGAAAAUACUAAAAAAUCGAUAUGAUUACUUCAAGAAGGUGUUAGAGAGAUCUGGGAAAGAUCAUGCUGUAUCGUUGGUUCUGACAUCUCGAAUAUAUCAUUGCAAGAUGAUUGUUGAUGGGGUGCCGAGACAUAUGUCUGAACUACCUCAUGUGACUGAUGAAAGAGGGCAGGUGGCCGACCCCCUUGAUAUCCAUGCCAGUAAGGAUUAUAUAUGUCCGUUUUAGCAUUUUGUUCAUAUAUAUGCCAUUCAGUAAUGACUGCAGUCUCUAGAUUUGGAUUCAGAGAUACUGUAGUGUGUGCCCUAUGCUGAAUAUUAUAAUUGUAGGAGCUUGCAGUCAAGCUGAUUUAUUGUCUCGAGAAGUGGGCAUUGGGAGUUGUUAAUUGGCUGAACAUGUACCUUCUGGGAGUUGUUUUAUUUGAUGGUCUGGUAAGUGACUUGCUUCCAGCAAUGGUUAGUUGUUUUUAUAUUUUGUUACGGCUACUAGAUGGGUGAUUGAGAUUGAGACUGUAUUCAACUGUUGAUUUUCUUGAUGUGCCUAAAUUUGGUAUGAGGUGUUUGUGUGUUUGGAUGCUCUUCAACUUUUCUGGUUAUACUAGAUACUAAUCUACAAUUCUAUAUAUGCCAUGCUAUUUGACUUUUCAUUUUCUUGAUCUACCUGAAUUGGUACUAUAGAGAUGUCUGAUGUAUGCGUGCGCGUGUGUGUGUGUUUAGGCAGUUUAGCCUCCUAUUCGUUUCCACACUUGGUUUUGCUUUUAGGAGAAUCAAGGAGGUUCUGUUAGGAGAAUUUCCUUUUGGUUUCCAUGGUUAAUUAAUCCUGGGACUAUUCAAAAAUGUAGAUAUCUUCGGUAUAUAUCUAAAGAAUUGUGUGUUCAUGGGCAACUAUACGUUGUUUUGUCUCAUGUACAUCAAGAGAAUUGCUAAAAAUACUUACUGAAGAUGAAAAUGUAGAUUGUACUACUGAAACUCAAAAUAUUGUUUACCCUUGGGGCCUUCUGAGAUAUCAGUGUACCAUCGUGGUGUUAUAUUUUGCAUUGUGUUGUCUUUUUUAUUAGUUUCAGGUUCAGCUGCCUUCGUAUGUGCAUAUUCUUUUGGUAUAAUCAUAGAACGAGAUAGUCGAUUCGUCUUCUUUUGCCGUUUGGGAUGAUACUUUCGUCCGAAUAAUAAAUGAUUGGAUGUAGGGAGAGGGGCUGUAUCUCGAUACCCUGUCCUCAUCAUGCUAAUUGCAUGUAAUCUUUUUCUCUUUCAUAUAUCUGUUGGUAGUUUUUCUUUUUGAGGUUGUUAUGUCCUCUCCUGAUUAUUCCUGUCCCGAUGAUUAAUUCUAAGAGAAUUGCUUCG
rnacentral:lncRNA from 1 species